GCUUGGAGGAGCUGGGGCUGGAUGAAGCAGGUCCCCACGACCCAAGCAUGAGGUCCGUCUUCACAGAGGAAGGAUUGACAGUCCAGCAGAGCAGAGAUUAAAGGCUUCCACCCAGGAGUUCCCGUUGUGGCUCAGCAGUAAUGAACCCCACUAGGAUCCAUGAGGAUGCAGAUUCGGUCCCUGAUCUCACUCAGUGGGUUAAGGAUCUGGCAUUGCCUUGAGCUGUGGUGUAAGUGGCAGAUGUGGCUCGGAUCUGGCAUUGCAGUGGCUGUGGUGUAGACCGGUAGCUGUAGCUCUGAUUCAACCCCUAGCCUGAGAACUUCUAUACACCAUGGGUGUGGCCCUAAAAAGAAAGGAAAAAAGUCUCCCACCAAACACAUUUGCGUGUUCAGUGUCCCCAAAAGGCCGUGACUUCAGAAUCAUCAAUGAGACCUACAGGUUGAGAUCUGAAACAUGAAGCAAAACAGUAACACGUCCGAUUUGGUUCACAAGCAGACAAGAAAAUGAGGCUUCCUUUCCAAGGCAGAAGUCCACACCUGACUUUCAUUCCCCCCAUCAAUCAGCUGAUUCCAAAAGACCAUAAACCCCCUUUGAAAAAUAUUGGGACUUCCUACCCUUCCCUGAGAUGUCAUGGAAUUCUGCAUGUCGUGUGGUCCCCGGAUGAGGUGGACAGCAUAGAAUCCUCUACCAAGUUCUCUGAUACCUUGAAUAUCUUCUCCAGAAACCUGAGAACGCUGCCCGAUUUUAACAGCAAACACCACCCAUCAACAUUCAAACCGUUGCAUCCGAAUUCCGGACAAACAACACACACCUUUCGCAAAAGUAUGUCCAUACAACCUUUGGAACACACUUACUGUGACAAAGAGUCUGACUCCAUGUUUGAUGUGUUGACUGAUGACAGUUUUCAAGCCCCAUCACGGCCUCCUGCUCUUCUGCCCACACCUGAGCAAGCAGGUAAGCCCUGCAGCUCCCUCUUCUGGUACCAGCUGGAAGUACAAGCCACGCAGGCCCAGCCCCUUCUCUUCAGCCCCACCCUUCCUCACCACAAAACCCCAAGGCACCUGCCCCCGGCCCCCGCUCUCUCAGUUACCUUUGAAUCUUCUGGGGAAGCCUAUUUUCCCUGA
ensembl:lncRNA